rnacentral:rRNA from 1 species
GAUGAACGCUGGCGGCGUGCCUAAUACAUGCAAGUCGAGCGAACGGACGAGAAGCUUGCUUUUCUGAUGUUAGCGGCGGACGGGUGUGUAACACGUGGAUAACCUACCUAUAAGACUGGGAUAACUUCGGGAAACCGGAGCUAAUACCGGAUAAUAUUUUGAACCGCAUGGUUCAAAAGUGAAAGACGGUCGUGCGGUCACGUAUAGAUGGAUCCGCGCUGCAUUAGCUAGUUGGUAAGGUAACGGCUUACCAAGGCAACGAUGCAUAGACGACCUGAGAGGGGGAUCGGCCACCCUGGAACUGAGACACGGUCCAGACUACUACGGGAGGCAGCAGUAGGGAAUCUGACGCAAUGGGCGAAAGCCUGACGGAGCAACGCCGCGUGAGUGAUGAAGGUCUUCGGAUCGUAAAAAUCUGUUAUUAGGGAAGAACAUAUGUGUCAGUAACUGUGCACAUCUUGACGGUACCUAAUCAGAAAGCAACGGCUAACUACGUG